rnacentral:rRNA from 1 species
AGUGAACGCUGGCGGUAUGCCUAACACAUGCAAGUCGAACGGCAGCACAGUAAGAGCUUGCUCUUACGGGUGGCGAGUGGCGGACGGGUGAGGAAUACAUCGGAAUCUACUUUUUCGUGGGGGAUAACGUAGGGAAACUUACGCUAAUACCGCAUACGACCUACGGGUGAAAGCAGGGGAUCUUCGGACCUUGCGCGAUUGAAUGAGCCGAUGUCGGAUUAGCUAGUUGGCGGGGUAAAGGCCCACCAAGGCGACGAUCCGUAGCUGGUCUGAGAGGAUGAUCAGCCACACUGGAACUGAGACACGGUCCAGACUCCUACGGGAGGCAGCAGUGGGGAAUAUUGGACAAUGGGCGCAAGCCUGAUCCAGCCAUACCGCGUGGGUGAAGAAGGCCUUCGGGUUGUAAAGCCAUUUUGUUGGGAAAGAAAAGCAGCAGGUUAAUACCCCGCUGUUCUGACGGUACUCAAAGAAUAAGCACCGGCUAACUUCGUG